GCCGGGUCUUUCUACUAUAACCUGGACCUCACUGGAGAUUCCGUUAUAUUGUGCUAAAAUAGAAACAACGUUAAACCAGGUCGACUUGUUUGUUAAAGAGGUGGUAGACAUGAAAGAAGCACGAAUAGACGCUAUUCUACAGUCGAUGUCUAAAACUUUGUUAGUGUAUUUACCCGAAACAGCUGUAGAACCGAACGUGUUUUAUGAAGAAAAUCUAAUAAGACGCGAUGAAACAGCAAACGAAUUGCAGCAGAAGUCGACCAAUGCCGAAACAGCAGUGAUGGAGCUCAUCAAUAAAUUCUUGGAUAGCGUACCUUCCAAACAAAUAAACGAUUUG